CGGAAUGGCUCAGUUGGUAGAGCGACGCAUUCGUAAUGCGUAGGUCGUGGGUUCGAGUCCCACUCCCG
rnacentral:tRNA from 1 species